CCUACGGGAGGCUGCAGUGGGGAAUAUUGGACAAUGGGGGCAACCCUGAUCCAGCCAUGCCGCGUGUGUGAAGAAGGCCCUCGGGUUGUAAAGCACUUUCAGUGAGGAAGAACGCCUGGUGGUUAAUACCCAUCAGGAAAGACAUCACUCACAGAAGAAGCACCGGCUAACUCCGUGCCAGCAGCCGCGGUAAUACGGAGGGUGCGAGCGUUAAUCGGAAUUACUGGGCGUAAAGCGCGCGUAGGUGGCUUGAUAAGCCGGUUGUGAAAGCCCCGGGCUCAACCUGGGAACGGCAUCCGGAACUGUCAAGCUAGAGUGCAGGAGAGGAAGGUAGAAUUCCCGGUGUAGCGGUGAAAUGCGUAGAGAUCGGGAGGAAUACCAGUGGCGAAGGCGGCCUUCUGGACUGACACUGACACUGAGGUGCGAAAGCGUGGGUAGCAAACAGGAUUAGAUACCCUUGUGUC
rnacentral:rRNA from 1 species